UUUUAUUGAGAGUUUGAUCCUGGCUCAGGAUGAACGCUGGCGGCGUGCUUAACACAUGCAAGUCGAACGGAGGACCCUUGACGGAGUUUUCGGACAACGGAUAGGAAUCCUUAGUGGCGGACGGGUGAGUAACGCGUGAGGAACCUGCCUUGGAGAGGGGAAUAACACAGAGAAAUUUGUGCUAAUACCGCAU
rnacentral:rRNA from 1 species